GUCAAACAACCCAAUCAAUAAGGUUCCUCGUUCUUAGUGCUGAUCUGUAUGCUGUGUACAUUCGUGUGUGAAGCAGUGCUAUAUAAAACUCAUGAAGAAAAAGGUGAUUUGCAUUCAUUAUACAAAGCGAGAAAAGGAGGAGCAAGAAGGUGUAAUGUGUAUGCAAAGGGAAAAGUGCAGGGCAUUAUUGUUUCAUGUCUGGAUGGAGACAAGAUCCUAUAUGAGUCCUAAGAUCAAGGAAGCCAGACUAGUUUUGAGAAUAUUCUUUACUCCUCCCCUCAGCUUCAUGAAGCAGUGAUACAUGAAGACAGCAGACUUGUUGAAGUGCAGAGAACAGGACUCUGUGGUACACUUGAGGCUUUAUUGAUCUUUACACUUGACCUCGAAGCAUAACAGGAAACUAUAAGGAAGAACAUUAAAAAGGAGAAAUGAAAAAUUUUAAAUUGAACAGGCAUCGAAUCUCUUAGCCAGUGAGACUUGAGCCUACAAAAAUAAAAUUGUAUGAUGGUAAGACUUUGGCUGGCAACCAAUCUAGAGAGCAUGGAGCGGGUAAGAAACAAUCCGUAACUCUUGCAGAUAAGAGGAGAUUGCUAACUCAUCCUGUGUGCAUCAAGAGAUGCACUGACUUGAAUAAUUAUUAAUUCCUUAAAUGUAUCAGCUGCAAUCUACGUAUAAAAGAUACUGAAACAGAAGGUAUGAGGAUGAUUACAUUCUGAAUUUCCCCACUCCUCAGCACCCCUCAGACUCAUUCAGUCCCCUGCAGAAACAGCAGGCACUGAUCUUUGAUAUUUUGCUUUUGUUUUUCAAUAUGCAAGCCUUAUCUAACACGCUGAGUGACCCUGGCUCUGAAGACACAGUUUCUCAUUGAUUCAUAUGCUUUCAUAUGAGGCAUCAGGAAAAAAGAAGCCAAUCCUCAAGGCAAUAUAGUGGAAUCAUAGAAACCGUCUAUUCAUACUUAUUUCUGAAAGGACAAGUAAUACAAAAUACGUACAGUUACAAGAGGUGUUUGAGAAAAUGACAUGGAAUGUCUGAAGAGACAGCCAGUGGCAUCACGGCAAGGGGCAACUUCCAGCUGUGAUGUUCUUUCUUCCUGAUCCACUCAGCAGCUCCUGAAGGAAUGAGGUGAAAAUCAACAUUGCUGUCAUGAUGCUGGGUAUCACCAGCCACAACAAAUGUGUAUUCAAUGAUGAGCUAAUCCUAGGGAACAGAAAGGAUUGAUUCAAUUUUAUUUCCAGGGGCUGACGACUUUCCAGAUACCUGGUUCUCAGAAGAGAGAAAAGAACUACACCCAAUGGACUUCAUGUUCAAAGAGGAAGAUAAGGCACUGGAGGAAGUCACGGAAUCUCUCUCUCUUGUUCCUUCAGU